rnacentral:lncRNA from 7 species
GUCCACAGGGAGAAGCUUGGUGAAUGCAUUUAAGAUGUUUGUGCACAGUUUCUGAAUUAAGAGCGAGCACUGUCUCUAAGUACGACCUAAAGAGGGGAGCUUAAAAAGGCCCUGGAUAUGCAAUGCAGAUGGCAGCGUUCUCCCUUUCAGCAUGAGGAGCUUGGAGCUCAGUGAGCAAAAAUCAAUGAUGUGCCAUUACUGCCAGCAGAGCUCUUCCAGCUGAUGUGGCCCUCUCUUUACAUGCUGCACGAGUACAGAAUCCCUGUGAAAAGGGACAGACCAUCCUUGAAGGCUGCCAUCGCAGCCCUUACUCAUCGUGGGCUCGGGCUGUCACUAAAUUUAGAUUCUGAAGCCCACUGAAGAAAACAAUCACUGCAAAGAAGUACCAAAUCUCUUGCAAACUCUCCCCUGAUCACUGCAUUCAAAGAUCUACCAGCAGCUGUUGAUGUAACGUUAUGGAUGUUUAGCAGGACUUCCUGUAUCUAAUGAACACAGCUCUUUCAGUGAGGAGACAAAGUGCAAUGCUGUCCCAGGAAAAUAAAAACGAUGUAACAUUCAGUCAGGAAUGCACUUACUACACGGCCUGGAAUCAGGAAUUGAUCUCAUGCCUCUGUAACAAAGAUCCCAUCUGUAGUCCCAUGUGGGGAGGGCACUGACACUGCUUCAGAAAGGACGUGGUUAUCCUGCUCCCAAAAGGAACUGAUUAGGGGAGAUGUUCCAGAAGCUAUUCGAUACAGACUGCACAACUCAGGAUGCCAUUCGUACAGUGAGUCAAAAAACUAUACAGCAUUCUCCAAUAUUUUUAUGUCUAAGAGUGCCAACAGCUUCUCAACUGACAGUGAAAAUUAAACUUUAAGAGAAAUGAGGCACAUAAGUGCUUUUAAAACCUCACUCCUUAUUUCUCUAUGCCUUAUUUUUUUGCACACAGGAUGUACCCAGGGAUAUGGGAAGCAGAAUACGAAGUUGUGAGGUGGUGUUGGAAACAAGGACGAGGCAACACAGGCAGCUUGUAAGAAAGGCUUUCAGCAUCUUUUGUCAAAUAUCCAACUUGUGGAAACUGUGCAAGCAAGGGAGUUUUGCUUCAUCAAUACUAUAAAAUAAACUGAAGUUAAAAUGGGUGCUGCCCAAUCCAAUUGUCAAACACUGCUGCCGCAAUACAAAGACAAAUGUUUAUUGGCUUAACUUUGAAACUGCAGUAAAUGCUCUUCUAUUCAAUUAGAUAAACAAAUACAGUACUGAGUAUAUAAUGGGGUCCUUUCAAGUAAAUUAUGCUUCCUAACUCAUGUGUAAAAGAAAAAUGGCUUUUAAUGUUUAUAUUCCUGUAAAAUAAGAAACCAUCAAGGCUCUCCUUCUGUUACAUACCAAAUAUAUUAAAAAAAAAAUGAAUAAAUAAAGGAGGU